UNNNNNNNNNNNNNNNNNNNNNCCCGCCCCGCGCUCACUUCCGCUGGGGCCGGGGGCGGCGGGGCCGGGACCGGGGCCGGGCCGGGGACAGGGACGGGGACGGGGACGGGGCAGGUGCGGGGGGGGCCGGGACCGGGCCGGGAGGGGACCGAGAGGGGCAGGGGGCGGGCUGCGGGCACACGGGGUGGGACCGGGACCGGGACCGAGAUCCGGAUCCGGAUUGGGGUCGGGAUUGGGACUGGGAUUGGGUUUGGGAUUAGGACUGGGAUCGGGAUUGGGAUUGGGGUCGGGACCGGCUGGGGCCGAUCGGGGCCGAUCCGGGCCGGGGGCCAGCUGCAGCCACACGGGGUGCUGGGAUUGGGACGGGGAUCCGGAUUGGGAUUGGGAUCGGGAUUAGGAUCGGGACUGGGAUUGGGAUUGGGACUGGGACCGAGACUGGGAUUGGGACCGACCGUGGCUGAUCGGGGCCAGGGGCCAGCUGUGGUACUCUGGGGUGCUGGGAUUUGGACCAGGAUCUGGAUCGGGAUUGGGUUUGGGAUUGGGAUUGGGAUUAGGUUUGGGAUUAGGAUUGGGACUGGGACUGGGAUCAGGAUUGGGGUUGGGACUGGACCGACCGGGGCUGAUUGGGGCUGGGGGCCAGCUGUGGCUCCCUGGGGUGCUGGGAUCAGGACCAGGAUCUGGAUCUGGAGCAGAAUCCGGAUUGGGAUUGGGUUUGGGAUUAGGACUGGGACCAGGAUUGGGAUUGGGACUGGGACUGGGACCGGGACUGGGACCAACCGGGUCCGACUGGGGCUGAUGAGGGCUGGGGCUGAGCUGCAUCCCCCCAGGGUGGUGGGAUCAGGAUCAGGACCAGGAUUGGGACUGGGAUUAGGAUUAGGACUGGGACUGGAAUCAGGAUUAGGACUGGUACUUGGAUCAGGACUGGGACCGACUGGGGCUGAUCGGGGCCGGGGCAAGCUGCAGCCCCCCUGGGUGCUGGGACUGGGACUGGGACCGGGACAGGGAUCAGGAUCCAGAUCUGGAUCAGGCCCUGGGCGCUUUUGGGAUAAAACCCCCCCAAAUCAGUGA
rnacentral:lncRNA from 1 species